ACACCACUAGGGCAGACCUGGAACCCCGUUUAACUACCUGCUCCUCCCAAGAAACGUCAGGCGCUCCCGCGAGGACCAGCGCCCGCUCCAUCCGGUCCCCCGCGUCGCCGCGCCGCGCGGCCACCUGUUGCACCCGCACGCCGAGCCCAGCCGCGCCGCCGCUAGAGUUCGUCCUCAGCCGAGCGGAGCCGAGCAGAGCCGAGCAGAGCGCGGGCUGCCCCUCCGCGCCCGCAGACCCGCAGGCCGGGCCGGGAGGACGCCGCCGCCGGGCUGCCUUUGUUUUCUCUCGGAGCUCAGCGUCCACACCACACGCCGGACGGCAACCGCCACCCACUGGCGCCAGCCCCCGCGCAGUGGCGCCUGGCCCACCCGAGACACUCCGGGGCGCCCACCCCCGCGGGAGACAGCAGGGCCCACCGAGGCAGGAACGCGCGGCGCAGACGGGUAGCCGCGCGGGGUCCCAAGCUUGGCAGCCCCCGGGCCAGGCGUCGCGGAAGGAGCGCCUGCCCCAGAAGCAAGUUCACGAAUCCCGAGUCUGAGGCGACCGCGGGGGCCGCGGGCCUGGCCCGGUUCCGAGUGUGUCCACUGGCCCCGGACCUCUCUGCAAGCGCGCGCGGGGCUCCGAGCCGAGAACCCCGAGCUCGCAGGCCGGCGAGCUGAAGCCGGCUCCCGAGCGUCUGUUUAUUGGCUCCUCAGGGAAAAAGUUUGGAGAUCUUUAACCAGCCGCAGACUGGGUGCAAGUCGAAAGCCCAGAAUGCCCCCGAAUAAGCGAUGUGACUCCACGUAGUUACAUAAGCGGGCUCCUCCUUCCCCGCCCUCGCGAGCCCUCUCGUCACUAGUCCAGCAGCAAAAUGUGUCUCCCUUUAAGACACUUCUCACCACUCCCAGAGCCCGCAGGCGAGCGCCGGGCGCGGGGCGCGGGGCGCGGGGAGGCCCCACCCGCGCUCUGCCCACGCGCGCCGAGGGGCGCAAGUUCCCCGGGCUGGGGCGCCGAUCCCGUCAGCGCGCCCCCAUGGCCCGCCACUCCACGUGGGCAGGAUCAACAGUUUGUCGCUCAUCGCUGACACCUUGAACUUUUCGUAAAGAAAAUGGGUAUUGUACCGCGAGGGCUUGGCCGCGCAGGGUCGUGCUUAAUAUUCAAUGAUCUCUCUCGCGCCGCCCCCUCGGCUUCUCGCAAAGAUUCCACCGAGUCCGUUACUGGGCUCGGACUUCCAAGUUAAUUCGCACCCCCCUCCCCCCGGCCGGGAGCCGGGCCUGGCGGGCCGGCCUCCCCCGCCCGCUCGGCCUGCGCUGACAUCCCCGGCGCCCGCGGGCCGAGCCUCACUUUGUAACUUUGUGCGGAGCCGGCCGCGGUGCCAGCUCGGGUGGUGGUAUCGUAUGCAAAUACGCAUGCUGACGUUACAGAUCAUGUGGGUUUUGGCGUAGAUUCCCCACUGAUCGAGGCAUUUUCCCCCCUUUUUUUUCUUUCUUUUUUUCUUUUUUUUUCUUUUUUUUUUUUCUUUUUAAAAUUGCGGCCACCGUUCUCGGAGCGGGGGCCCCUCCGCCCGUCCGUCCGGCGCGCCGGCGCUGCCCGUUUCCCACGGAGCCGGGGCCGGCGCCGGCGGGGAGUGGGGAGUGGUGGGGAGCAGCAGAGUUCCAUUUUGGAAGCCCGCGCUCGUCUCCGCGCGCCCAGCCGGGCCCCCGCGCGCCCGCGUCCGCGACCCCGCGCCGCAGGUCCCGAAACCCUGGCUGCUCCUGGAGUCGAGGUGUAAGAAGGUUCUCAGGAUGUGAGUGACGCGACAGGAGCCUGAUAUGACGCUACCUGGUGUGUUUAGCAAUUGGUACAGUUGUAAUUUUCUGUGCUGAAAUCAUUUUGAAAACUCCAACCAGAGACUUGAGCAUUCAAGGGAAGCCAAAGCCAUUUGAGGAGAAAUAAAGCCAGAAGCCUUUUAUCCUGCUAUCACCAAGAAGUUCCAUAUCCCCCUCCACCCCCUCUAAAAAUAAGCCAUCGCCCAGACAGGCAGCAUGGCAAGCAAACGAAAAUCUACAACUCCGUGCAUGGUUCGGACAUCACAAGUGGUAGAAAAAGAUGUUUCGGAGGAGGGAGACAGGGCCAAAGAGAAAGGAAUGGCCAUGCCACAGUCCGACGUGACCAAGGACAGUUGGGCAGCAGAACCUGAAAGCUCUUCCAAAGAAAAUGAAGUCAUAGAGGUGAAAUCCACUGGAGAGAACCAGUCCAAAAAACUUCAAGGUGGCUACGAAUGCAAAUACUGCCCGUACUCCACACAAAACCUGAAUGAGUUCACGGAGCAUGUGGACACGCAGCACCCCAACGUGAUUCUCAACCCCCUCUACGUGUGCGCCGAAUGCAACUUCACAACCAAAAAGUACGACUCCUUGUCUGACCACAACUCCAAGUUCCACCCAGGGGAGACCAACUUCAAGCUGAAGUUAAUCAAGCGCAAUAAUCAAACCGUCCUGGAGCAGUCCAUCGAAGCCACCAACCAUGUCACGUCCAUCGCUGCCACAGGCCUCGUAAGUGGUGACAGUGACCCUGGGAUCUCAGUGAGUAAAACCCCCAUCAUGAAGACAGCAAAGUCGAAAACAGAUGCCAAGAAGGUGCCCAAGAAACCAGAAGAGGCCAUCCCCGAAAACCACGUGGAAGGCACUGCCCGCCUGGUGACAGAUGCAGCUGAGAUCCUCUCGAGACUUGGGGGCGUGGAGCUCCUCCAAGACACAUUAGGACACGUCAUGCCUUCUCUACAGCUGCCACCAAAUAUCAACCUUGUCCCCAAGGUCCCAGUCCCACUGAAUACUACCAAAUACAACUCUGCCCUGGACACCAAUGCCACCAUGAUCAACUCCUUCAACAAGUUCCCUUAUCCGACCCAGGCUGAGUUGUCCUGGCUCACAGCAGCCUCCAAACACCCCGAGGAGCAUAUCAGAAUCUGGUUUGCCACCCAGCGCUUAAAGCAUGGUAUCAGCUGGUCCCCGGAGGAGGUGGAGGAGGCCAGGAAGAAGAUGUUCAAUGGCACCAUCCAGUCAGUACCGCCGACGAUCACUGUGCUGCCCGCCCAGCUGGCCCCCACCAAAAUCUCCCAGCCCAUCCUCCAGACAGCUCUGCCAUGCCAAAUCCUUGGCCAGACCAGCCUGGUGCUGACUCAGGUGACAAGUGGGUCAACGACCGUCUCCUGCUCCCCCAUCACGCUCACUGUGGCUGGAGUGCCCAGCCAUGGCCAGAAGAGGCCUUUGGUGACUCCCCAAGUUGCCCCUGAGCCCAAGCGUCCACACAUUGCCCAGGUGCCAGAGCCCCCAGCCAAGGCAGCCAACCCUCCACCCACCCCAGCCAGCGACCGAAAGAAGACCAAGCUGCAGAUCGCACAUCUCAAGGCAAGCUUCCUGCAGAGUCAGUUCCCUGACGACGCUGAGGUCUACCGCCUCAUCGAGGUGACCGGCCUGGCCAGGAGUGAGAUCAAGAAGUGGUUCAGUGACCACCGGUAUCGGUGCCAGCGGGGCAUCGUCCACAUCACCAGCGAAUCCCUUGCCAAAGACCAGAUGGCCAUCGCAGCCUCCCGACACGGCCGCACAUACCACGCAUACCCAGACUUUGCCCCCCAGAAGUUCAAAGAGAAAACACAGGGUCAGGUAAAAAUCCUGGAAGACAGCUUUUUGAAAAGCUCUUUUCCUACACAAGCAGAACUGGAUCGCCUAAGGGUGGAGACCAAGCUGAGCAGGAGAGAGAUCGACUCCUGGUUCUCAGAGAGGCGGAAGCUUCGGGACAGCAUGGAGCAGGCUGUCUUGGAUUCCAUGGGGUCUGGCAGAAAAGGCCCGGAUGUGGUGGCCCCCAACGGCUCUCUGUCCCGACUUGACCAGCUCGCAAGUGCCCAGUUAGCCAGUUCUCUCCCCAGCACUUCACCAGCAAUCACACCAAGCCAAGAACAGGUUCAUCUCCUGAGGAGCACAUUUGCAAGAACCCAGUGGCCGACUCCCCAGGAGUACGACCAGCUCGCCGCCAAGACCGGCCUGGUACGAACUGAGAUUGUGCGCUGGUUCAAGGAGAACAGAUGCUUGCUAAAAACCGGAACCUUAAAGUGGGUGGAGCAGUACCAGCGGCAGCACGUGGCAGAGGACCAUGGCCAGGACACCGUCCCGAGGAGAGCAGCAAAAGCAGUUGCCGAGAGCCCAAAGAAUGGAAGCGAGGCAGGCCCCCACUGUCCCAAGGACCCCAAAGCUCUCUGCGAAGAGGACUCGGAGAAGCUGGGCCCCAGGGGGAAAGCAGGCAGUGAGCAGGCAAAAGACUGCUUACCAGCCAAGUCCUCGGGGGCCACCUCGGACAGGUCAGAGGGCAGCAGCCGAGACGGCCAGGGCAGCGAGCAUGAGGAGUCCAGCGUUGUGGACUAUGUGGAAGUGACUGUCGGAGAGGAGGACGCCACCUCAGACAGGUCGGACAGCUGGAGUCAGCCUGCAGCAGAAGGCGCGACAGAGCUGGCCGACUCCGACUCUGACGGCGGCCAGGCCGAGGCCAGCCGUGCCUAGCCAGUACCCACUUUGCUGAGAUGGUCUGGAAUUGAACCUGCAAAAUCUACCACAAAUGCUGCAUGUUCUACUUUUCCUCUGGCUCAGCCAAAAAGCAGAUUCUUCUGUGCUUACAUCCCUGGAGAGAAAGUUUGACCCCUGGAGUCUAUGAGAAAGGAGCAGAAGAAAAGUCAAUAUGCAAAAGUCUGUGAAUCCUUCAGAAUUGUGCUGUAAAUGGGACACUGUCUCGGGAAAGAAGAGAACUUCCCUCUUCACCGUAGGCCCCCCUCGCCAGAGACUCCAGGGGAACUGCCUCCAGUGCCUGGCGAGUCCCCCCAUGGGCUCCGGAGGACGGAUGGGAAUUGUCCGUAGUGCCAAAGUCCUACUACUGUGUUUCCGGUGGGUCCUUGUACAUAGCUGGCUCCUCCAACCUGGCCCCACCUCUUGCUGUACUGGAACUGAUUUGUACUCUGUGGAAAUUUUGUUACCUUUUUAAUCAAGGGCCACUUCCUUUUCCAGCACUACCAUUGCAAGGUUUUUCCAGGAUCGAGGGCUAACCACAUUGCUUUUCCCUUUUAUAUUUUUCUUUUAUUAAUUUAGGAGAGGGUGUGCUAGUAUUAAUGCCAAUUAUAUCUUCUGGGUUUUAGGUAGGGAGAAUUUAUUUUUAAAUGUAGCUUGGAAUUUGGAAGGCUUCUUGGUGGAAAGGGCUGGGUUGGGCCUCUGUCUCAACUCAGAGUGGGUUUGCAUAGAGUUGCAGACCUUCCAGUCAAACCCAUUUUGUUUCUUUCCUGGCUGCUUGGGGAUCCCUGCUGCACCCCACACAGGUUUUCCACACUGCCGAGAGGGAGUCUAACCUCACUCAGCUGUCCCUCAGCUGAGCCUGGUGUGGUCCCAGCUGCACUGCAAGGCCUGCUUAGCACCUUUUUAAAACCAGCAGAAAGACUCACAUUUGUGAGCACCAUCACUGAGAUUACGAAAUUGAACAAAAGAUCUCCCUUUCUAGGUGGCACAAAGAUAGAGAGCUUUGGGGUUCGUUUUUCUUCACUGCCUUUUCUCGGUGUGGUAUUUGAGAAGCUUUGGCUUGACACCUCACCAUGAAUGGAUACUGUAUGUACGUGCGUGUGCGUGCGUGUGCAUGUGUGUGUGUGCGCGCGUGUGUUUUGAGCCAGUUUUAGAUACCUGAGUGCACUUUUUUUAGCUAGUGCUAACUUUUAAAUAAGGAAUACCAAGCGCCGUGUCUGGUGUACAUGUGGCGAUGACUCAUGUUUGCAGCCCUUUCCCCCUGGACACCCCCUCUGUCUGCGUACACUGCACAAAUAAAAUGCUAGGGAGUUUGAAUAAAACCGAUUUUUCUAGCUCGUGCUCAUUUGUUGUAACUCAAUAAAGCAAACACUAACCAUUUGUAGAA